AUACUGUAUAAUCCCUGCGGGGGAAAGAUUUAUCGCUAUUAGAUGAGCCUACGUUAGAUUAGCUAGUUGGUAAGGUAAUGGCUUACCAAGGCUAUGAUCUAUAGCUGGUCUGAGAGGACGAUCAGCCACACUGGAACUGAGAUACGGUCCAGACUCCUACGGGAGGCAGCAGUGGGGAAUAUUGGACAAUGGGCGAAAGCCUGAUCCAGCUAUGCCGCGUGAGUGAAGAAGGCCUUCGGGUUGUAAAGCUCUUUCAAUAGGGAAGAUAAUGACGGUACCUAUAGAAGAAGUCCCGGCAAACUCCGUGCCAGCAGCCGCGGUAAUACGGAGGGGGCAAGCGUUGUUCGGAAUUAUUGGGCGUAAAGGGCACGUAGGUGGACUAGUAAGUUAAAAGUGAAAUACCAAAGCUUAACUUUGGAGCUGCUUUUAAUACUGCUAGACUAGAGGUCGAAAGAGGAUAGCGGAAUUCCUAGUGUAGAGGUGAAAUUCGUAGAUAUUAGGAGGAACACCAGUGGCGAAGGCGGCUAUCUGGUUCGAUACUGACACUGAGGUGCGAAAGCGUGGGGAGCAAACAGGAUUAGAUACCCUGGUAGUCCACGCUGUAAACGAUGAGUGCUAAAUGUGAGGAUUUUAUCUUUGUAUUGUAGCUAACGCGUUAAGCACUCCGCCUGGGGACUACGGUCGCAAGACUAAAACUCAAAGGAAUUGACGGGGACCCGCACAAGCGGUGGAGCAUGUGGUUUAAUUCGAUGCUACGCGAAAAACCUUACCACUUUUUGACAUGAAGGUCGUAUCCCUCCUAACAGGGGGAGUCAGUUCGGCUGGACCUUACACAGGUGCUGCAUGGUUGUCGUCAGCUCGUGUCGUGAGAUGUUGGGUUAAGUCCCGCAACGAGCGCAACCCUCAUCCUUAGUUACCAACAGGUAAUGCUGGGCACUCUAAGGAAACUGCCAGUGAUAAACUGGAGGAAGGUGGGGAUGAUGUCAAAUCAGCACGGCCCUUAUAAGGUGGGCUACACACGUGCUACAAUGGCAACUACAAUAGGUUGCGAGACCGCAAGGUUUAGCUAAUCCAUAAAAGUUGUCUCAGUUCGGAUUGUUCUCUGCAACUCGAGAGCAUGAAGUCGGAAUCGCUAGUAAUCGUGGAUCAUCACGCCACGGUGAAUACGUUCUCGGGUCUUGUACACACUGCCCGUCACGCCAUGGGAAUAGGCUUAACUCGAAGCUGGUGUGCUAACCGCAAGGAAGCA
rnacentral:rRNA from 1 species